AGCAGCCGCGGUAAUUCCAGCUCCAAUAGCGUAUAUUAAAGUUGUUGCAGUUAAAAAGCUCGUAGUUGAAUUUCGGGAUCAAUAUGUUGGUCGUACCAUUGGUACGUACUGGCAUUAUUGAUUCCUACCUUCUGAAGAAUCUUGAUGUCAUUAAUUUGGUGUCUUGGGAAAUCAGGACUGUUACUUUGAAAAAAUUAGAGUGUUUAAAGUAGGCUCGCGCUUGAAUACAUUAGCAUGGAAUAAUGAAAUAGGACGUUUGAUUCUAUUUUGUUGGUUUCUAGGAUCGAUGUAAUGAUUAAUAGGGAUAGUUGGGGGCAUUAGUAUUCAAUUGUCAGAGGUGAAAUUCUUG
rnacentral:rRNA from 1 species